rnacentral:tRNA from 1 species
UAGCUCGGUGGUAGAGCAUGUGCUUGGCAUGCACAAGGUCCUGGGUUUGAUCCCCAG